GCCGAUUAAAAAGUUACGUGAGCUGGGUUCAAACCGUCGUGAGACAGGUUGGUCCCUAUCUACCGCAGGCGCAGAGUUUUGAGGAGAUUUAUUCCUAGUACGAGAGGACCGGAAUGAACCAACCUCUGGUGUAUCAGUUGUCCUGCCAAGGGCAUUGCUGAGUAGCCACGUUGGGAACGGAUAAGCGCUGAAAGCAUAUAAGCGCGAAACCGACUCCAAGAUGAGAACUCUUAGAUUUCCCCGAGAUGAGGGGAUUGAUAGGCUCCAGGUGUAAGUCCCGUAAGGGAUUCAGCCGGGGAGUACUAAUAAAUCAUUCAUUUUUUAGC
rnacentral:ncRNA from 1 species